UUUUCUAUACGUUCUCCCUCCUCUCGGCUCUCAAACGCGGCGAGCCCGGGCAUCGAUGCAGACCUGACACCGGCUACAACCGGACGUCCAGCUUUCUCCCGGUGUUGACAAGCUAUCUGCUUUUCUUUCCUUUAACAAAAAAAACAAAACAAAAGAAAGAAAAGCCACACGAAGAUGCGCACGAUGACUCUCACACGCCCGAGGAAGGACGCACUUUUUCCGCCAGCAGACGACCGGAGAGACGCCAAAAAAAACAAAAAAAAAAAAAAAAAAAAAAAAAACGCCCAUAAGUUGCCGAAUUGAACCGUCACGAUUGGGGCUGCCAUAAGAGGAAGAAAACCAACUCCAACCUUCAGGACGAGGGGAGGGAGAGGAAGGGAAGCCCCGGAGCAGAACGCGACAAGAAAAAAAAAAAAGACAAGAGUGAUAAAAGAGAGGUCCAGACAUGAUGGAGGCGCACACACACAACGAUAUCUUGAGUCUGUCUGUGGUCUACCGCCAGGAUACUCCCUCCCCCCCGCCCCUCCUAAGCAUCCCUGCAUUCGCCGCUGCACGCACGCCAUACACACACACACACACACACACACACACACACACACACACACACACACACACACACACACACACACACACAUACUGGUUAUCAUUUGGAAUGGGGACCAAGUUUUUGAUCAUCACUUGUGGGGACCACCCUUUCUACAGGUUGUGGAGGCAUAAAAAAAAAAUUGGUAAAAUGGCCACUGCCCAGUUAGCUCAUACACAUCUUUAAAUCUCUGGAUUGAUGAAGUAAUGUGCUGAUCAUUCUUACUGGGGACCCUGGGGAAAAAGAGUUAAUAUGGUUUAUAGGGACCAAAUUCUAAUAAUUUUGCAUAAUUCACACAAAUUUGUACGUGACUACUGAGGACCAUUUAUAAAAAAAAAUAAAAUAAAAUAAAAAAAAGUUAAAAUUAAAUAUGACAUGAUCCUCAGAAUACAGCACUACAGCUGUCCUCUUAUAGGAAGUUUCACCACUUAAAUGUUAAAGCAAAUCCUGCAUCUUCUGUGACAUUACUGAAAACUGCUAUUUAGCAGUAAUGAAGUUGUCUGCAACUCCAACUACCAUAUAUAGAAGGACGGAAAAUUCUGAAUGUGAAUCAUACUUUAAGGUAAUAAUGUUUUAUAAUCAUGCUGUAUGAAAUCAUUUAAAUGUAUAAUUUAAAAAGGUUUCCCUUUAGGAGACCUGUUUUUUUGUCCCCAUACCGUCAGAGGUCCCCUAAAGGUGACUGUGUAAACAGAGCGAUGUCCCCAUUAAGUAAGCAUUGCCAGAACACACACACACACACACACACACACACACACACACACACACACACACACACACACACACACACACACACACACACACACACACACACA